CCACGCCCUAAACGAUGUCAACUAGCUGUUGGGGCCUUCGGGCCUUGGUAGCGCAGCUAACGCGUGAAGUUGACCGCCUGGGGAGUACGGUCGCAAGAUUAAAACUCAAAGGAAUUGACGGGGACCCGCACAAGCGGUGGAUGAUGUGGAUUAAUUCGAUGCAACGCGAAAAACCUUACCUACCCUUGACAUGUCUGGAAUCCCAAAGAGAUUAGGGAGUGCUCGCAAGAGAACCGGAACACAGGUGCUGCAUGGCUGUCGUCAGCUCGUGUCGUGAGAUGUUGGGUUAAGUCCCGCAACGAGCGCAACCCUUGUCAUUAGUUGCUACGAAAGGGCACUCUAAUGAGACUGCCGGUGACAAACCGGAGGAAGGUGGGGAUGACGUCAAGUCCUCAUGGCCCUUAUGGGUAGGGCUUCACACGUCAUACAAUGGUCGGGACAGAGGGUCGCCAACCCGCGAGGGGGAGCCAAUCCCAGAAACCCGAUCGUAGUCCGGAUCGUAGUCUGCAACUCGACUACGUGAAGUCGGAAUCGCUAGUAAUCGCGGAUCAGAAUGUCGCGGUGAAUACGUUCCCGGGUCUUGUACACACCGCCCGUCACACCAUGGGAGUGGGUUCCACCAGAAGUAGUUAGCCUAACCGCAAGGAGGGCGAUUACCACGGUGGGGUUCAUGACU
rnacentral:rRNA from 1 species